CUUUAUAUAUUUAAUAAGUUGAAUUUUGUUUUAAGUUAAAAUUCUUAAAUAAUUUUAAAAGACGAGAAGACCCUAUAGAAUUUUAUAAAAUUUUAUUUUAUUAAUAUGAAUUUAUUUAAAAUUAGUUAAAAUUUAAUUUUAUUUUAUUGGGGUUAUAAAAAAAUUUAGUUAAAUUUUUUAGUUUGAUGAAUUAUUAAUAAAUUUAUUUUUAAAAAUUAUUAUUUAUAUAAUUAAAUUAAAUUACCUUAGGGAUAACAGCGCAAUAUUUUUUAUAAGUUCAUAUUGGUAAAAAUGU
rnacentral:rRNA from 1 species